rnacentral:rRNA from 1 species
AACAGGAUUAGAUACCCUGGUAGUCCACGCCGUAAACGAUGUCGACUUGGAGGUUGUGCCCUUGAGGCGUGGCUUCCGGAGCUAACGCGUUAAGUCGACCGCCUGGGGAGUACGGCCGCAAGGUUAAAACUCAAAUGAAUUGACGGGGGCCCGCACAAGCGGUGGAGCAUGUGGUUUAAUUCGAUGCAACGCGAAGAACCUUACCCACUCUUGACAUCCAGAGAACUUAGCAGAGAUGCUUUGGUGCCUUCGGGAACUCUGAGACAGGUGCUGCAUGGCUGUCGUCAGCUCGUGUUGUGAAAUGUUGGGUUAAGUCCCGCAACGAGCGCAACCCUUAUCCUUUGUUGCCAGCGGUUCGGCCGGGAACUCAAAGGAGACUGCCAGUGAUAAACUGGAGGAAGGUGGGGAUGACGUCAAGUCAUCAUGGCCCUUACGAGUAGGGCUACACACGUGCUACAAUGGCAUAUACAAAGAGAAGCGACCUCGCGAGAGCAAGCGGACCUCAUAAAGUAUGUCGUAGUCCGGAUUGGAGUCUGCAACUCGACUCCAUGAAGUCGGAAUCGCUAGUAAUCGUGGAUCAGAAUGCCACGGUGAAUACGUUCCCGGGCCUUGUACACACCGCCCGUCACACCAUGGGAGUGGGUUGCAAAAGAAGUAGGUAGCUUAACCUUCGGGAGGGCGCUUACCACUUUGUGAUUCAUGACUGGGGUGAAGUCGUAACAAGGUAACC